rnacentral:rRNA from 1 species
GGGGGGGGCAAGCGUUGUUCGGAAUUACUGGGCGUAAAGGGCUCGUAGGCGGCCAACUAAGUCGGAUGUGAAAUCCCCAGGCUUAACCUGGGAACUGCAUCCGAUACUGGAUGGCUUGAAUUCGGGAGAGGGAUGCAGAAUUCCAGGUGUAGCGGUGAAAUGCGUAGAUAUCUGGAGGAAUACCGGUGGCGAAGGCGGCAUCCUGGACCGACAUUGACGCUGAGUGAGCGAAAGCUAGGGGAGCAAACGGGAUUAGAUACCCCGGUAGUCCUAGCCCUAAACGAUGAAUGCUUGGUGUGGCGGGUAUCGAUCCCUGCCGUGCCGAAGCUAACGCAUUAAGCAUUCCGCCUGGGGAGUACGGUCGCAAG